GUCUAUGGCCAUACCACCCUGAACACACCUGAUCUCGUCUGACCUCGAAAGCUAAGCAGGAUUGGGCCUGGGUUAGUAAUUGGAUGGGAGACCCCUGGUGACUUGAGAAGAGGGACC
rnacentral:rRNA from 1 species